GACGAACGCUGGCGGCGUGCUUAACACAUGCAAGUCGAACGGUAAGGCCCUUCGGGGUCCACGAGUGGCGAACGGGUGAGUAACGCGUGAGUAACCUGCCCUUCACUCUGGGAUAACAGUUGGAAACGGCUGCUAAUACCGGAUAUUCAGCUCCUGUUGCAUGGUGGGGGUUGGAAAGUUUUGGUGGUGGAGGAUGGGCUCGCGUCCUAUCAGCUUGUUGGUGGGGUGAUGGCCUACCAAGGCGUCGACGGGUAGCCGGCCUGAGAGGGCGACCGGCCACAUUGGGACUGAGAUACGGCCCAAACUCCUACGGGAGGCAGCAGUGGGGAAUAUUGCACAAUGGGCGGAAGCCUGAUGCAGCAACGCCGCGUGCGGGAUGACGGCCUUCGGGUUGUAAACCGCUUUCAGCAGGGACGAAGCGCAAGUGACGGUACCUGCAGAAGAAGCACCGGCUAACUACGUG
rnacentral:rRNA from 1 species